rnacentral:tRNA from 1 species
GCCUAGUUAGCUUAGUUGGUAGUGCGUCUGCCUUGUAAGCGCUAGGCCGCGGGUUCGAUUCCCGCCAUUGGACG